GAAGAGAAGCUUGCUUCUCUUGAGAGCGGCGGACGGGUGAGUAAUGCCUAGGAAUCUGCCUGGUAGUGGGGGAUAACGUUCGGAAACGGACGCUAAUACCGCAUACGUCCUACGGGAGAAAGCAGGGGACCUUCGGGCCUUGCGCUAUCAGAUGAGCCUAGGUCGGAUUAGCUAGUUGGUGAGGUAAUGGCUCACCAAGGCGACGAUCCGUAACUGGUCUGAGAGGAUGAUCAGUCACACUGGAACUGAGACACGGUCCAGACUCCUACGGGAGGCAGCAGUGGGGAAUAUUGGACAAUGGGCGAAAGCCUGAUCCAGCCAUGCCGCGUGUGUGAAGAAGGUCUUCGGAUUGUAAAGCACUUUAAGUUGGGAGGAAGGGCAGUAAAUUAAUACUUUGCUGUUUUGACGUUACCGACAGAAUAAGCACCGGCUAACUCUGUGCCAGCAGCCGCGGUAAU
rnacentral:rRNA from 1 species